ensembl:snRNA U6 U6 spliceosomal RNA
GUGCUCGUUUUGGCAGCACAUCUACUAAAAUUGGAAUGGUACAGAGAAGAUUAGUGUGGCCCCUGCACAAGACUAUGGCUCAGCACAAAUGCAGCUUCUCUUA